CAGAUCAUUCCCAUUUGUCUCCUUCCCUGCCUGCUCUGUAGUUGAAAUAAUUCUUUUCAAAAAUAAUUUAUAAAUUGUUUUGUAUGACACCAGUGACAUUUAUUACAGGCAUCAAGUUCAGCAAAAAAUAACAAAGUAUUUCUACUUAAUUCAUUUAUCAAAUGCUAAGGGCUAUGGUAAGAAUUUAGAGGUUAUGUCACUUAGCAUCUUACAGUGAGUAGAACAAUUUUGUUCCCAGUCAGAUGAGUUAACUUGGAAGGCACUGGUCAACAAGAAGUCUGCCAGAAAAGAAAGAAUGGUGGCAUUGAACAGAGAAGUUCCAGACAGAAGCCAAAGAGGAACCACAGUACAGACAGUAAACAUCUUUGGUUAUCGAUAUUCAAAAGCCAACUAAAACAGCGUGGCAAGCUGGAGUGGGAGAAGGUCCCCAAAGUAGAAGGCUAUUCAUGGAAAUGGAAACAAGCAGAAGAACAAACAGAAAAAUCUCCAUGUUUUCAUCCUACAUUUCAAAGCUGCAUUGAAACCGCAGUUCCUCUCGUCACAAGGCAUUUCCUAAAAAUUCAUGAAACUCUUUAAAACAGGAAGUUCACACUUUUACUUUUUCAAUAUGAUUCUUCCCCCUCAGUUCUACUUUAGCUCAUUUACUCACUUAACAGAAUACUUUUUAAACUAAGAACUGAUACUUCCCAUAAAUAUCUUUCCUGCAAAGCACCCCCAACCUCACCCCAGAGCAGCCCUCUCCCUUGCGCGGUUUUCCAAGCGGUGUCCUGCUGCUUUCCUGCGACUUAGGACUGGUUUUCCCUAGAAGGUAAUACCAGAUGAACAAGAUGUAGCAUUUCAAAAAUGCAACCAAGUGAGGGAAUACGUAAUGCUUAGCUAAUUAUGAAAUUUGAUGGCAUCUUAGGGGAAAAAUAUCAAAUCCUGCUAUUGAAUAGAAGCAAUCUCAAUAAACCUCCAACUUCUUAAUGUAUGAACAUGGAAACCCUUUGCUCAGGGCCCAGAUACGUGCCAGAGAUAAUACGCCAAGAGAAUAAUUAUUUCCCCGCGAUGGGCUACUCUGAUUAUCUAUCCCAUUAUGAAUCAAGCCCUUGAAAAUCCAAAGGUAAGCAGCAGUUAAACAGCUAUAAACAGUGGUUAAUGAGAAUUUUGAGGAAAUAUGAUGGGUGACAACACUGUGAAACCCACUGCAGAAAUGAGUUCCUAAGUGUGAAAAAUAUAUGGUUUCCUGAACUUCAGACCCUAUAUGCCCUCUCUCCUUUUCCUUCUCCCACCCUGCGUCCAUCCCUCCAGUUUAUUUUUCUUUCUCCUUGCUUCCCCUGUCUCUUUUCCUCUUCCCAUCUUUGUCUCCUCCACUUUCCUUUUAACUCCACACCUCACCACUUCACUCUCCCAAAGACUUGUCACAAUAUUCACAUGGACGUUUACCGUAAGCAUAUUUGAUUCCUUGUUGGUAUUUUUUAAAUCAAAUUUAACUCUUUCAUAUCACACUCUUUCUGUGUCCAAAAUAAAACCAAG
rnacentral:lncRNA from 1 species